rnacentral:rRNA from 1 species
UCUACGGGUGGCAGCAGUAGGGAAUAUUGCUCAAUGGGGGAAACCCUGAAGCAGCAACGCCGCGUGGAGGAUGAAGGUUUUCGGAUUGUAAACCCCUUUUUUUAGAGAAGAUAAUGACGGUAUCUAACGAAUAAGCACCGGCUAACUCCGUGCCAGCAGCCGCGGUAAUACGGGGGGUGGAAGCGUUACUCGGAAUCACGGGGCGUAAAGGGCGCGUAGGCGGGAUAGCAAGUCAGAUGUGAAAUCCUAUGGCUUAACCAUAGAACUGCAUUUGAAACUGUUAUUCUAGAGUAUGGGAGAGGUAGGUGGAAUUCUUGGUGUAGCGGUAAAAUCCGUAGAGAUCAAGAAGAAUACUGAUUGCGAAGGCGGCCUGCUAGAACGUAACUGACGCUGAUGCACGAAAGCGUGGGGAGCGAACAGGAUUAGAUACCCCUGUAGUC